rnacentral:rRNA from 1 species
CCUACGGGAGGCAGCAGUGGGGAAUUUUGGACAAUGGGCGCAAGCCUGAUCCAGCAAUGCCGCGUGAGUGAAGAAGGCCUUCGGGUUGUAAAGCUCUUUUGUCAGGGAAGAAACGGUGGGAGCUAAUAUCUCCCGCUAAUGACGGUACCUGAAGAAUAAGCACCGGCUAACUACGUGCCAGCAGCCGCGGUAAUACGUAGGGUGCAAGCGUUAAUCGGAAUUACUGGGCGUAAAGCGUGCGCAGGCGGUUUUGUAAGUCUGUCGUGAAAGCCCCGGGCUCAACCUGGGAAUUGCGAUGGAGACUGCAAGGCUUGAAUCUGGCAGAGGGGGGUAGAAUUCCACGUGUAGCAGUGAAAUGCGUAGAGAUGUGGAGGAACACCGAUGGCGAAGGCAGCCCCCUGGGUCAAGAUUGACGCUCAUGCACGAAAGCGUGGGGAGCAAACAGGAUUAGAUACCCUGGUAGUCCACGCCCUAAACGAUGUCUACUAGUUGUCGGGUUUUAAUUAACUGGUAACGCAGCUAACGCGUGAAGUAGACCGCCUGGGGAGUACGGUCGCAAGAUUAAAACUUAAUGAAUUGAGGCUGAGAGNGCGAGACGACGACGAGGAGAGG